CACAUAUUUCAACAGUAUUUUACACAAUAGGCCUACUCACUGAACCGCCUUGCUAAUUGUCUUUGCAUCUUGCUUACUGUGUCAGAGGAUUCAUAUGAUUUAAAUUGGCAUAGCU